rfam:Brachypodium distachyon strain Bd21 chromosome 3, whole genome shotgun sequence.
CUUAUACUCCAUCCGUCCAACAAAAAAUGUCUUAAAUUUGACUAAAUUUGAAUGCAUUUAUAUACUAAAUCAUGUCUAGAUACAUCCAAACAAACUUGAGACAUCUUUUGUUGAACGGAGAAAGUAGCAU